UACAGAGGGGGCAAGCGUUGUUCGGAAUUACUGGGCGUAAAGGGCGCGUAGGCGGCCUUCUAAGUCGAACGUGAAAUCCCCGGGCUCAACCCGGGAACUGCGUCCGAUACUGGAAGGCUUGAAUCCGGGAGAGGGAUGCGGAAUUCCAGGUGUAGCGGUGAAAUGCGUAGAUAUCUGGAGGAACACCGGUGGCGAAGGCGGCCUUCUGGACAGUGACUGACGCUGAGACGCGAAAGCCAGGGGAGCAAACGGG
rnacentral:rRNA from 1 species